rnacentral:rRNA from 1 species
GACGAACGCUGGCGGCGUGCUUAACACAUGCAAGUCGAACGGAAAGGCCCUGCUUUUGUGGGGUGCUCGAGUGGCGAACGGGUGAGUAACACGUGAGUAACCUGCCCUUGGCUUUGGGAUAACUUCAGGAAACUGGGGCUAAUACCGGAUAGGAGCUCCUGCUGCAUGGUGGGGGUUGGAAAGUUUCGGCGGUUGGGGAUGGACUCGCGGCUUAUCAGCUUGUUGGUGGGGUAGUGGCUUACCAAGGUUUUGACGGGUAGCCGGCCUGAGAGGGUGACCGGCCACAUUGGGACUGAGAUACGGCCCAGACUCCUACGGGAGGCAGCAGUGGGGAAUAUUGCACAAUGGGCGGAAGCCUGAUGCAGCAACGCCGCGUGCGGGAUGACGGCCUUCGGGUUGUAAACCGCUUUCGCCUGUGACGAAGCGUGAGUGACGGUAAUGGGUAAAGAAGCACCGGCUAACUACGUG